AUUGAACGCUGGCGGCAGGCUUAACACAUGCAAGUCGAGCGGGGAAAGGUAGCUUGCUACCUAACCUAGCGGCGGACGGGUGAGUAAUGCUUAGGAAUCUGCCUAUUAGUGGGGGACAACAUUCCGAAAGGAAUGCUAAUACCGCAUACGCCCUACGGGGGGAAAAGCAGGGGAUCUUCGGACCUUGCGCUAAUAGAUGAGCCUAAGUCAGAUUAGCUAGUUGGUGGGGUAAAGGCCUACCAAGGCGACGAUCUGUAGCGGGUCUGAGAGGAUGAUCCGCCACACUGGGACUGAGACACGGCCCAGACUCCUACGGGAGGCAGCAGUGGGGAAUAUUGGACAAUGGGCGAAAGCCUGAUCCAGCCAUGCCGCGUGUGUGAAGAAGGCCUUUUGGUUGUAAAGCACUUUAAGCGAGGAGGAGGCUACUUAGAUUAAUACUCUAGGAUAGUGGACGUUACUCGCAAAAUAAGCACCGGCUAACUCUGUG
rnacentral:rRNA from 1 species